rnacentral:tRNA from 2 species
GGGCCCGUAGCUCAGCUUGGUAGAGCAUCGGGCUCUUAACCCGAGGGUCGGGGGUUCAAAUCCCCCCGGGCCCG